rnacentral:rRNA from 1 species
CCCAAAGGUUCCCUCAACCUGGACGGCAAUCAGGUGGCGAGUGUAAAUGCACAAGGGAGCUUGACUGCGAGACUUACAAGUCAAGCAGGGACGAAAGUCGGGAUUAGUGAUCCGGCACCCCCGAGUGGAAGGGGUGUCGCUCAACGGAUAAAAGGUACCCCGGGGAUAACAGGCUGAUCUUCCCCAAGAGUCCAUAUCGACGGGAUGGUUUGGCACCUCGAUGUCGGCUCGUCGCAUCCUGGGGCUGGAGCAGGUCCCAAGGGUUGGGCUGUUCGCCCAUUAAAGCGGCACGCGAGCUGGGUUUAGAACGUCGUGAGACAGUUCGGUCUCUAUCCGCCGCGCGCGUCAGAAACUUGAGGAAACCUGUCCCUAGUACGAGAGGACCGGGACGGACGAACCUCUGGUGCACCAGUUGUCCCGCCAGGGGCACCGCUGGAUAGCCACGUUCGGUCAGGAUAACCGCUGAAAGCAUCUAAGCGGGAAACCUUCUCCAAGAUCAGGUUUCUCACCCACUUGGUGGGAUAAGGCCCCCCGCAGAACACGGGUUCAAUAGGUCAGACCUGGAAGCUCAGUAAUGGGUGUAGGGAACUGGUGCUAACCGGCCGAAAACUUACAACACCC